UUUUUUUUUUACAAGGUGUCCUAUUCUAGACUAAUCCUUGGGUCUGUGAUCCGGCCCCUCUUCACACAGUCCGGUUAAUCGCAGGAUGUGCCUCCAACUGGCCAGGGUCCGAGCGCUCCCCACCUGGUCUGACAAAGUGCCAAGCAAGUCAAUCCAAGUUGCACCUUGCCUUCCAAGAAUAAUCCUUGCCUUCCAAGUUCCCACUUGCCUUCCAAGAAUAAAUCCUUGCCUUCCAAAUGUUCCCUUGCCUUCCAAGAAUAAAUUCUUGCCUUCCAAGAGCCCCAUGUUUCGAACUCACGACCUCUGCUCUGCCAGGUUUGACAGCGUCCGUCCUUUGCCAGUGGAGAAGUGCCCUGGGGGGCCGCACAAUUGUUGUAUUUGUUACUAGGUCGGGAUGUCCAUGCUCUUGGAAAUCUCUUUGCGUAUGGAGGUCGAGGCCUCGUAUGUCUGAAGUAAAGUGUAGUGUCGAUAGUAUUUGACCUUGUCCCCGAUUCUAGCUGACCCUAAUAUAAAUAAUUUAUAGAUGAGGAAAUCAUUC
rnacentral:lncRNA from 1 species